UCGCGUAGGGAUGUAUCGUUGGGUGGGGGAUAGCCUUGGGGAAACUGGGGGUAAUACCGCAUGACGCCUGUGGGCCAAAGGCAGUGAUGCCGCCUGACGAGCAGCCUGCGUCCGAUUAGCUAGUUGGUUGGGUAAUGGCUGACCAAGGCUGUGAUCGGUAGCUGGUCUGAGAGGAUGAUCAGCCACACUGGGACUGAGACACGGCCCAG
rnacentral:rRNA from 1 species